rnacentral:rRNA from 1 species
UACAGAGGGUGCGAGCGUUAAUCGGAAUAACUGGGCGUAAAGCGUGCGUAGGUGGUUUGUUAAGUCUGAUGUGAAAGCCCUGGGCUCAACCUGGGAACGGCAUUGGAAACUGGCUUACUAGAGUGCGGUAGAGGGGUGUGGAAUUCCCGGUGUAGCAGUGAAAUGCGUAGAUAUCGGGAGGAACACCCGUAGCGAAGGCGGCACUCUGGGCCGGUACUGACGCUGAGGAGCGAAAGCGUGGGGAGCGAACAGG